rnacentral:lncRNA from 1 species
AAAAAAAAAAACAAGAAACGAGAAACACGUAUGAACUACAUACAAAGACGACAACUACUGUACAUCGGAUUCCUGACUUAGGACAGGUGCAAACAUUUGCAGCGGGAUUAAACGUUUUAAGGGUACCAAACCGUCUCCUUUUUCUGAAACAAUAGUAUAACAUCACAAAAUAGAAGACAUCACUAUAAAAUAUCAAUUGGAAGGCUUAAAUCAAUCAAAUAAUCGCAAAUUAACAC